UCAAAAACAUCUCCUCCUGAGAAGAUUAUAAUUAUAGGAGGUAGGCCCUGCCCGGUGCUUAAGUAAACGGCGGUCGUUCGUAGCGGCUUUAAUGUAGCGCAAUUUCUUGCCCUUUAAAUGGGGGAGGGAGGAAUGGGUUGACGUCGGGAGAUCUGUCUCCUAAGCAGUACAUGUGAAAUUUUCUUCUUGGUGAAAAGCCUAAGAUAGGUGUAAAAGACGAGAAGACCCUGUCGAGCUUAAUGGUUUCCUUACUUGUUUUAACGGAGGGAGUAUGGGGAGAAGUUUGGUUGGGGCAACUCUGGAGAAGGCAAAACCUCUGGACAUACUAGCAUAACGACCCAUUAUUUAAUGACUUACGGUAGAAGAAGUUACCGCAGGGAUAACAGCGCGGCGCUCCCAGAGAGGUCCAAUCAAAGGGAGAGAGUGCGACCUCGAUGUUGGAUUAGAAUUGCUCACCGUGGCGCAGCCGCUGGCAGAGGGGU
rnacentral:rRNA from 1 species